rnacentral:rRNA from 1 species
UACGAAGGGGGCUAGCGUUGUUCGGAAUUACUGGGCGUAAAGCGCACGUAGGCGGAUCGAUCAGUCAGGGGUGAAAUCCCAGAGCUCAACUCUGGAACUGCCUUUGAUACUGUCGGUCUAGAGUAUGGAAGAGGUGAGUGGAAUUCCGGAGUGUAGAGGUGAAAUUCGUAGAUAUUCGGAGGAACACCAGUGGCGAAGGCGGCUCACUGGUCCAUUACUGACGGCUGAGGCA